GACCCGGAACCUGAUCACAUGGGGCCUAAUAGACUUCGCCCACGAUUUGAUUAUGUAGAUCCAUCCAAAUUUCACGAAACUCGAUACCAUGGUUUUGCUGGGGCUGGCAGCAGGCAGUACCCACAUGACUAUUAUAGUUCUCAUCAUGGCAGAGGUCCAUACUCAUCUUUCUAUGGGGGCGAUGGCCAACAUGAAGACAGGUACUAUUAUUAGCGCGAAGAACCUUUUGGUGGAUCUGGAACAGACAGAUCAGCGUCUUCAAUUAUGAGCAUGCGGCCUCUCGAUUAUACAAUUUUAAAGUUGCAUUUUUAAUUUUAUAUGCAUUUCUACCUUAUUCCUAGUCCAUCUGUUUUGUUUCUAUUUAUCUAUUAGAUCAUAUAGGUGGUAUAGACUAAGGUAUUUAACUG